AUCGGGGCAGGCAGGCGGGGAAGCACUCUAGCCUCCUCUCAGCUUCCAGGAUCUCUGCUGGUCCCCAAGGAGCACUUUGACCUCUGCUCCCCCCUCAAGUGCUGUGGAUCGAGCCUCCCCCCCACCCACCAUUCCACCAAAGGGGCUGCUGAUCAAGAGGCCCCACCCAGCCAGGGUUCAUCUCAACAUUAUCUGGACACCUGCGUGUAAAACCGCAGCACAGUGCCUGGCUGUUAAGAUUUGAGCUUAGGAGCCUUUGGAGAGGCAGUCCCUGCAGCCCCGAGACCC